rnacentral:rRNA from 1 species
CACGUAGGGGGCAAGCGUUGUCCGGAAUCAUUGGGCGUAAAGCGCGUGUAGGCGGCCCGAUAAGUCCGCUGUGAAAGUCCAGGGCUCAACCCUGGAAUGCCGGUGGAUACUGUCGGGCUCGAGUCCGGAAGAGGCGAGUGGAAUUCCUGGUGUAGCGGUGAAAUGACGCAGAUAUCAGGAGGAACACCGGUGGCGAAGGCGGAUCUCUGGGCCUUGCCUGACGCUGAGGCGCGAAAGCUAGGGGAGCGAACAGG